rnacentral:lncRNA from 1 species
UUAAUUGAACAUCUCUAAGAUGUAAACAGUCGUUUGCAUUACCUGUGUUAAACCAUUUUGCAAUGACUCAGACUUUACAAAUACAAUAAGACACAUCUAACUUAAUAAAAUGCAAGUGUAUGCAUGGCCUGCUGUGUGCGACGGCACAAGUAUAUAAUACGAGAAACUAACUUUGAAGCUAGAGUGAAUAACAAUGAGGCGCC